rnacentral:rRNA from 1 species
UACGGGGGGGGCAAGCGUUGUUCGGAAUUACUGGGCGUAAAGGGCUCGGUAGGCGGCCAACUCAGUCGGACGUGAAAUCCCUCGGCUUAACCGGGGACUGCGUCCGAUACUGGAUGGCUUGAGUGUGGGAGAGGGAUGCGGAAUUCCAGGUGUAGCGGUGAAAUGCGUAGAUAUCUGGAGGAACACCGGUGGCGAAGGCGGCAUCCUGGACUACUGACUGACGUGAG